rnacentral:rRNA from 1 species
GGAUGCGAUCAUACCAGCACUAAUGCACCGGAUCCCAUCAGAACUCCGCAGUUAAGCGUGCUUGGGCGAGGGUAGCACUAGGAUGGGUGACCCCCUGGGAAGUCCUCGUGUUGCAUCCC